rnacentral:misc_RNA from 1 species
GAAAUGCGACAAGUAAUGUGAAUUGCAGAAUUCAGUGAAUCAUCUAAUCUUUGAACGCACCUUGCGCUCCUUGGUAUUCCUUGGAGCAUGCCUGUUUGAGUAUCAUGAAAUCUUCAAAGUAAAUCUUUUGUUAACUCAAUUGGUUUCUACUUUGGUAUUGGAGGUCUUUGCAGCUUCACACCUGCUCCUCUUUGUUCAUUAGCUGGAUCUCAGUGUUAUGCUUGGUUCCACUCGGCGUGAUAAGUUAUCUAUCGCUGAGGACACUGUAAAAGGUGGCCAAGGUAAAUGCAGAUGAACCGCUUCUAAUAGUCCAUUGACUUGGACAAUACUUUUAUGAUCUGAUCUCAAAUCAGGUAGGACUACCCGCUGAACUUAAGC